rnacentral:rRNA from 1 species
UGGGGAAUUUUGGACAAUGGGCGCAAGCCUGAUCCAGCAAUGCCGCGUGCAGGAUGAAGGCCUUCGGGUUGUAAACUGCUUUUGUACGGAGCGAAAAGGUCUGCCCUAAUACGGUGGGCUCAUGACGGUACCGUAAGAAUAAGCACCGGCUAACUACGUGCCAGCAGCCGCGGUAAUACGUAGGGUGCGAGCGUUAAUCGGAAUUACUGGGCGUAAAGCGUGCGCAGGCGGUCUUGUAAGACAGUCGUGAAAGCCCCGGGCUUAACCUGGGAACUGCGAUUGUGACUGCAAGGCUAGAGUGUGUCAGAGGGGGAUGGAAUUCCGCGUGUAGCAGUGAAAUGCGUAGAUAUGCGGAGGAACACCGAUGGCGAAGGCAAUCCCCUGGACCUGUACUGACGCUCAUGCACGAAAGCGUGGGGAGCAAACA